CCUACGGGAGGCAGCAGUGGGGAAUAUUGGACAAUGGGCGAAAGCCUGAUCCAGCAAUGCCGCGUGAGUGAUGAAGGCCUUAGGGUUGUAAAGCUCUUUUACCAGGGAUGAUAAUGACAGUACCUGGAGAAUAAGCUCCGGCUAACUCCGUGCCAGCAGCCGCGGUAAUACGGAGGGAGCUAGCGUUGUUCGGAAUUACUGGGCGUAAAGCGUACGUAGGCGGUUAUUCAAGUCAGAGGUGAAAGCCUGGAGCUCAACUCCAGAACUGCCUUUGAAACUAGAUAGCUAGAAUCUUGGAGAGGUGAGUGGAAUUCCGAGUGUAGAGGUGAAAUUCGUAGAUAUUCGGAAGAACACCAGUGGCGAAGGCGACUCACUGGACAAGUAUUGACGCUGAGGUACGAAAGCGUGGGGAGCAAACAGGAUUAGAUACCCUGGUAGUCCACGCCGUAAACGAUGAUAACUAGCUGUUCGGGCUCUACGAGCUUGAGUGGCGCAGCUAACGCAUUAAGUUAUCCGCCUGGGGAGGUACGGUCGCGAGAGUUAAACUUAAAUAGUUAGUUAGUACGGCGUUGAGACGNGCCGACGGACGACGACGAGGGAGGAGG
rnacentral:rRNA from 1 species